AAGGCCACUUGAGGGAAAGCCGCUCCCAGGGAGGCUCUAGCGCGUUCCGGCAGCAGGCGCCUGGUCAGCCACCUGGUCAGCGACCAUUUCCACCCAGCACACCCGAGUGAGUGGUCCAGCCACGGCCCUCAGACCUGGGAUUUUCCUUGCAACCUCUUUCUCUCCAGGGGAACCUCUCUACCUCCGGGGUCUGCUUCUGUAGGCAGUGAGUGCCCAGCCGGACCCCAGAGGGCCAUGCGGUUCCAAAAGCAGCCCAGUCUUCAGGCCUUGGGCUUCAAAAAUGUGGAACAGACACUGACCAUCCAACCGCUCGUCGGCCUAAGAAGCACAGUCUUCACCAGAGACCUAGAACCGCCCGCGGUCUGCCCUGGUGCGCUCCCCAAGAGCGCGGCUACGCAGUCAGGACGUGGAAGUGGCUCUGGCCACAGCCCUGCACCCAUCACACCAGCCUGGACGGGUGGUGGGCGACCCGUGCACCUCCAUCCGCCAGGCUCUGCGCAGCCCCGAGCUCCAGGGGCAGCCCUGGGUGUGCCCGCGGGGUUCUGGGACACUGCCCUCUCCCGCCUCGGGCACCCUGGCCGAGCCCCUUGGGAGCGACGCUGGGCCAGGGGGCCUCCCCGCCUCACUGUCCCUCGUUGCUCCUGCUCUUCACCGGGACUCGCUGUCCACUGUCACCACUUGCCUGGACACUUUCCUGCCUGACGCCUCCUUCGCCCUCUCACCCCGACUCUGUUGGCUUCAUGGUGUCUCUGUCUCAGAAAUCGUCACAUUCUUUUCCUCUUCUUUGGAGACAGGGUCAUGCCAAGUUGCCCAGCCUGGCCGCAACCAUGUCACAUGCCAUCCUCCUGCCUCAGCCUCCCAAGGAGCUGGGAUGACAGGUGUGGCCACCACGCCCGACUUCAAAUGAUUAGAAAAACAAAACAGAACAGAACCUUAUUUGUGGAAGACACCAAACCCGCACAGACACAGCGCACACCCCGUCACCAUCCCCGGCAGCGCCAGUCCUGAGUGACUCUGGCCACUCUUACACACUCACAUGCUACGCAGCCACGGCUUCCCCCACUACUCCUGGUGACAGGGUGUCCCUGCUGUGUCCUUGGAGUUGCUGGGGACAGGGCAGCAGCAGCAGCCAGGGUCUUCGGCAUCCGGCAGGGCCCGGCCAGCUGGCUCUUGAAUGGACAGUGGAAGAGAGGACGUGGCAGGUGGGCCCGGGAGGAAUCCGCCCCCUGUGCCCCUGACCAGCGUGGCCUGGGACCCCACAGGGAUGUGCCAUGCCAGGGAUCACGUCACACAGACCCCCAGCAUGGCGGGAUGCCACUGCUGCAGCUGAGAUCAUCUGUCACUCCCCCGCAUCGCCCGGGUGGGGGGGUCUCAGAGAAGACCCGACACACAGCUCUCCCCUUCAGGUCUGGGCUGACUUCUCUGUGGGCACAGUGACAAAGCCCUGAGACACUGCUGGAGUGGCCGGCAAGGAAUCC
rnacentral:lncRNA from 1 species